rnacentral:lncRNA from 1 species
CAGCAUUUACUAGUGACACGUUUGCGCAACAUCUUUAACAAGAUGGAUCUCCAGGGAGACAUGAGGAAAUGAACUUAGAAGUGUAUGGAUGCUGACUGGCCAGACCUGCCUGAACAGCAAAAGAAGGUGUCUGAAGAUCCACAGACUAUGGAAACAACUAGUUAUGUUUGCAAAGUGGAGC